AAUAGAUACCCUGGUAGUCCACGCCGUAAACGAUGAGUGCUAAGUGUUAGAGGGUUUCCGCCCUUUAGUGCUGCAGCUAACGCAUUAAGCACUCCGCCUGGGGAGUACGGCCGCAAGGCUGAAACUCAAAGGAAUUGACGGGGGCCCGCACAAGCGGUGGAGCAUGUGGUUUAAUUCGAAGCAACGCGAAGAACCUUACCAGGUCUUGACAUCCUCUGACACUCCUAGAGAUAGGACGUUCCCCUUCGGGGGACAGAGUGACAGGUGGUGCAUGGUUGUCGUCAGCUCGUGUCGUGAGAUGUUGGGUUAAGUCCCGCAACGAGCGCAACCCUUGAUCUUAGUUGCCAGCAUUCAGUUGGGCACUCUAAGGUGACUGCCGGUGACAAACCGGAGGAAGGUGGGGAUGACGUCAAAUCAUCAUGCCCCUUAUAACCUGGGCUACACACGUGCUACAAUGGAUGGUACAAAGGGCUGCGAGACCGCGAGGUUUAGCCAAUCCCAUAAAACCAUUCUCAGUUCGGA
rnacentral:rRNA from 1 species